GACGAACGCUGGCGGCGUGCUUAACACAUGCAAGUCGAACGGAAAGGCCCCUUUGGGGGUACUCGAGUGGCGAACGGGUGAGUAACACGUGAGUAACCUGCCCUUGACUUCGGGAUAACUUCAGGAAACUGGGGCUAAUACCGGAUAGGAAUCCUUGCUGCAUGGUGGGGGUUGGAAAGCUUCGGCGGUUUUGGAUGGACUCGCGGCUUAUCAGCUUGUUGGUGGGGUAGUGGCUUACCAAGGCUUUGACGGGUAGCCGGCCUGAGAGGGCGACCGGCCACAUUGGGACUGAGAUACGGCACAGACUCCUACGGGAGGAAGCAGUGGGGAAUAUUGCACAAUGGGCGGAAGCCUGAUGCAGCAACGCCGCGUGCGGGAUGACGGCCUUCGGGUUGUAAACCGCUUUCAGCAGGGGCGAAGCUUGUGGUGACGGUACCUGCAGAAGAAGCACCGGCUAACUACGUG
rnacentral:rRNA from 1 species